GACGAACGCUGGCGGCGUGCCUAAUACAUGCAAGUUGAGCGCUGAAGGUUGGUACUUGUACCAACUGGGUGAGCAGCGAACGGGUGAGUAACGCGUGGGGAAUCUGCCUUUGAGCGGGGGACAACAUUUGGAAACGAAUGCUAAUACCGCAUAAAAACUUUAAACACAAGUUUUAAGUUUGAAAGAUGCAAUUGCAUCACUCAAAGAUGAUCCCGCGUUGUAUUAGCUAGUUGGUGAGGUAAAGGCUCACCAAGGCGAUGAUACAUAGCCGACCUGAGAGGGUGGACGGCCACAUUGGGACUGAGACACGGCCCAAACUCCCACGGGAGGCAGCAGUAGGGAAUCUUCGCCAAUGGACGAAAGUCUGACCGAGCAACGCCGCGUGAGUGAAGAAGGUUUUCGGAUCGUAAAACUCCGUUGGUAGGGAAGAACGUUGGUGGGAGUGGAAAGCUCAUCAAGUGACGGUAACUACUCAGAAAGAGACGGCUAACUACGUG
rnacentral:rRNA from 1 species